rnacentral:rRNA from 1 species
GUUUGGACGAGGGGCCCCUCUCGGGUUACCGAAUUCAGACAAACUCCGAAUGCCAAUUAAUUUAACUUGGGAGUCAGAACAUGGGUGAUAAGGUCCGUGUUCGAAAGGGAAACAGCCCAGACCACCAGCUAAGGUCCCAAAAUAUAUGUUAAGUGGAAAAGGAUGUGGCGUUGCCCAGACAACUAGGAUGUUGGCUUAGAAGCAGCCAUCAUUUAAAGAGUGCGUAAUAGCUCACUAGUCGAGUGACACUGCGCCGAAAAUGUACCGGGGCUAAACAUAUUACCGAAGCUGUGGAUUGUCCUUUGGACAAUGGUAGGAGAGCGUUCUAAGGGCGUUGAAGCAUGAUCGUAAGGACAUGUGGAGCGCUUAGAAGUGAGAAUGCCGGUGUGAGUAGCGAAAGACGGGUGAGAAUCCCGUCCACCGAUUGACUAAGGUUUCCAGAGGAAGGCUCGUCCGCUCUGGGUUAGUCGGGUCCUAAGCUGAGGCCGACAGGCGUAGGCGAUGGAUAACAGGUUGAUAUUCCUGUACCACCUAUAAUCGUUUUAAUCGAUGGGGGGACGCAGUAGGAUAGGCGAAGCGUGCGAUUGGAUUGCACGUCUAAGCAGUAAGGCUGAGUAUUAGGCAAAUCCGGUACUCAUUAAGGCUGAGCUGUGAUGGGGAGAAGACAUUGUGUCUUCGAGUCGUUGAUUUCACACUGCCGAGAAAAGCCUCUAGAUAGAAAAUAGGUGCCCGUACCGCAAACCGACACAGGUAGUCAAGAUGAGAAUUCUAAGGUGAGCGAGCGAACUCUCGUUAAGGAACUCGGCAAAAUGACCCCGUAACUUCGGGAGAAGGGGUGCUCUUUAGGGUUAACGCCCAGAAGAGCCGCAGUGAAUAGGCCCAAGCGACUGUUUAUCAAAAACACAGGUCUCUGCUAAACCGUAAGGUGAUGUAUAGGGGCUGACGCCUGCCCGGUGCUGGAAGGUUAAGAGGAGUGGUUAGCUUCUGCGAAGCUACGAAUCGAAGCCCCAGUAAACGGCGGCCGUAACUAUAACGGUCCUAAGGUAGCGAAAUUCCUUGUCGGGUAAGUUCCGACCCGCACGAAAGGCGUAACGAUUUGGGCACUGUCUCAACGAGAGACUCGGUGAAAUCAUAGUACCUGUGAAGAUGCAGGUUACCCGCGACAGGACGGAAAGACCCCGUGGAGCUUUACUGUAGCCUGAUAUUGAAAUUCGGCACAGCUUGUACAGGAUAGGUAGGAGCCUUUGAAACGUGAGCGCUAGCUUACGUGGAGGCGCUGGUGGGAUACUACCCUAGCUGUGUUGGCUUUCUAACCCGCACCACUUAUCGUGGUGGGAGACAGUGUCAGGCGGGCAGUUUGACUGGGGCGGUCGCCUCCUAAAAGGUAACGGAGGCGCUCAAAGGUUCCCUCAGAAUGGUUGGAAAUCAUUCAUAGAGUGUAAAGGCAUAAGGGAGCUUGACUGCGAGACCUACAAGUCGAGCAGGGUCGAAAGACGGACUUAGUGAUCCGGUGGUUCCGCAUGGAAGGGCCAUCGCUCAACGGAUAAAAGCUACCCCGGGGAUAACAGGCUUAUCUCCCCCAAGAGUU